rnacentral:rRNA from 1 species
GGACAACCUACCCUAAGGAGGGGGAUAACCCCGGAAAACUGGGGAUAAUACCCCAUAGACUACAGAUGCUGGAAUGCUCUGUAAUCGAAAGGUCCGCCGCCUUAGGAUGGGUCUGCGGCUGAUUAGGUUGUUGUUGGGGUAACGGCCCAACAAGCCUGUAAUCAGUACGGGUUGUGGGAGCAAGAACCCGGAGAUGGAUUCUGAGACACGAAUCCAGGCCCUACGGGGCGCAGCAGGCGCGAAAACUUUACAAUGCGGGAAACCGUGAUAAGGGAACCCCGAGUGCCCGUAAAAUCGGGCUGUUAACCUGUUUAAAAAGCAGGUGGAGAAAGGGCCGGGCAAGACCGGUGCCAGCCGCCGCGGUAAUACCGGCGGCUCGAGUGGUGGCCACUAUUACUGGGCUUAAAGCGUCCGUAGCUGGAUUGUUAAGUCUCUUGGGAAAUCUACCGGCUUAACCGAUAGGCGUUCAAGGGAUACUGGCAACCUAGGGACCGGAAGAGGUGAGAGGUACUCCAGGGGUAGGAGUGAAAUCCUGUAAUCCUUGGGGGACCACCUGUGGCGAAGGCGUCUCACCAGAACGGCUCCGACAGUGAGGGACGAAAGCUGGGGGAGCAAACCGGAUUAGAUACCCGGGUAGUCCCAGCUGUAAACGAUGCGCGUUAGGUGUAUCGGUGACCACGAGUCACCGAGGUGCCGAAGAGAAAUCGUGAAACGUGCCGCCUGGGAAGUACGGUCGCAAGGCUGAAACU